rfam:Triticum aestivum genome assembly, contig: Triticum_aestivum_CS42_TGACv1_scaffold_641548_T_4BL-0.096046_6BS-0.079634
UUUGUAUUCCCUCCGUCCCAAAAUUCUUGUCUUAAAUUUGUCUAAAUACGGAUGUAUCUAGUUACAUUUUAGUGUUAGAUACAUCCGUAUCUAAACAAAUGUAAGACAAGAAUUUUGGGACGGAGGGAAUACUAC